GCGGGUGUAGUCUAGAGGUUAUGAUGCAUGCUUCCCACGUGACUAGCAUGAGGUCCGGGGUUCGAACCCCCGUUCCCGCA